rnacentral:rRNA from 1 species
UACGUAGGGGGCAAGCGUUGUCCGGAAUCAUUGGGCGUAAAGAGCGUGUAGGCGGCUCGGUAAGUCCGCUCUGAAAGCCCGGGGCUCAACCCCGGGAGGCGGGCGGAUACUGUCGGGCUAGAGUCCGGAAGAGGCGAGUGGAAUUCCUGGUGUAGCGGUGAAAUGCGCAGAUAUCAGGAAGAACACCCGUGGCUAAGGCGGCUCUCUAGUACGGUACUGACGCUGAGACGCGAAAGCGUGGGGAGCAAACAGG